GUGAAUCAUCGAAUCUUUGAACGCAAAUUGCGCUUCCUGGCAUCCCGGGAAGUAUGCCUGUUUGAGGGUCAGUAUUAACAAAAAAUCGGUUUGGUUGCAAAUUGUGACGUUUCCGGAGUUUGGGCUAUCUUAACUUUUUUGGUUAAGGGGCUUAAAAUUGACCUUAUUUGCGCAUUUUUAGACGUACAUAAAUUUUUUUAUCGUCUAUUCUGGUGGCAAAUUACUUAUUAGGUGCGAUCAUAUAAUGAUCUCGUGCCCAUAAUUUCUCAUCUUUUGACCUCAAAUCAGGUAAGGACACCCG
rnacentral:misc_RNA from 1 species